rnacentral:rRNA from 1 species
UACGUAGGGUGCAAGCGUUAAUCGGAAUUACUCGGCGUAAAGCGUGCGCAGGCGGUUUUGUAAGUCUGUCGUGAAAGCCCCGGGCUCAACCUGGGAAUUGCGAUGGAGACUGCAAGGCUUGAAUCUGGCAGAGGGGGGUAGAAUUCCACGUGUAGCAGUGAAAUGCGUAGAGAUGUGGAGGAACACCGAUGGCGAAGGCAGCCCCCUGGGUCAAGAUUGACGCUCAUGCACGAAAGCGUGGGGAGCAAACAGG